rnacentral:rRNA from 1 species
CCUACGGGAGGCAGCAGUAGGGAAUAUUGGGCAAUGGGAGCAAUCCUGACCCAGCCAUGCCGCGUGAAGGAAGACGGCCCUAUGGGUUGUAAACUUCUUUUGCCGCAGAGUAAACCCGGUCACGUGUGGCCGGUUGAGAGUAUGCGGCGAAUAAGUAUCGGCUAACUCCGUGCCAGCAGCCGCGGUAAU